GUGGGUAGUUUGACUGGGGCGGUCUCCUCCUAAAGAGUAACGGAGGAGCACGAAGGUUGGCUAAUCCUGGUCGGACAUCAGGAGGUUAGUGCAAUGGCAUAAGCCAGCUUGACUGCGAGCGUGACGGCGCGAGCAGGUGCGAAAGCAGGUCAUAGUGAUCCGGUGGUUCUGAAUGGAAGGGCCAUCGCUCAACGGAUAAAAGGUACUCCGGGGAUAACAGGCUGAUACCGCCCAAGAGUUCAUAUCGACGGCGGUGUUUGGCACCUCGAUGUCGGCUCAUCACAUCCUGGGGCUGAAGUAGGUCCCAAGGGUAUGGCUGUUCGCCAUUUAAAGUGGUACGCGAGCUGGGUUUAGAACGUCGUGAGACAGUUCGGUCCCUAUCUGCCGUGGGCGCUGGAGAACUGAGGGGGGCUGCUCCUAGUACGAGAGGACCGGAGUGGACGCAUCACUGGUGUUCGGGUUGUCAUGCCAAUGGCA
rnacentral:rRNA from 2 species